rnacentral:rRNA from 1 species
AACGAACGCUGGCGGCAUGCCUAACACAUGCAAGUCGAACGAGACCUUCGGGUCUAGAGGCGCACGGGUGCGUAACGCGUGGGAACCUGCCCUUAGGUUCGGAAUAACUCCCCGAAAGGGGUGCUAAUACCGGAUAAUGUCUUCGGACCAAAGAUUUAUCGCCUUUGGAUGGGCCCGCGUUGGAUUAGCUAGUUGGUAGGGUAAAAGCCUACCAAGGCGACGAUCCAUAGCUGGUCUGAGAGGAUGAUCAGCCACACUGGGACUGAGACACGGCCCAGACUCCUACGGGAGGCAGCAGUGGGGAAUCUUGGACAAUGGGCGAAGGCCUGAUCCAGCAAUGCCGCGUGAGUGAUGAAGGCCUUAGGGUUGUAAAGCUCUUUUACCCGGGAUGAUAAUGACAGUACCGGGAGAAUAAGCUCCGGCUAACUCCGUG